rnacentral:rRNA from 1 species
UACGGAGGGUGCAAGCAUUGAUCGGAAUUACUGGGCGUAAAGGGCGCGUAGGCGGCUAGAAAAGUCGGAUGUGAAAUUCCGGGGCUCAACCCCGGAGCUGCAUUUGAAACUCUCUAGCUAGAGUAUAGUUAGGGUAAACGGAAUUCCACGUGUAGCGGUGAAAUGCGUAGAUAUGUGGAAGAACACCGGUGGUGAAGACGGUUUACUGGGCUAUAACUGACGCUGAGGCGCGAAAGCAUGGGGAGCAAACAGG